rnacentral:rRNA from 1 species
CCGGGGAGGGUCAUUGGAAACUGGGAAACUUGAGUGCAGAAGAGGAGAGUGGAAUUCCACGUGUAGCGGUGAAAUGCGUAGAGAUGUGGAGGAACACCAGUGGCGAAGGCGACUCUMUGGUCUGUAACUGACGCUGAGGAGCGAAAGCGUGGGGAGCGAACAGGAUUAGAUACCCUGGUAGUCCACGCCGUAAACGAUGAGUGCUAAGUGUUAGGGGGUUUCCGCCCCUUAGUGCUGCAGCUAACGCAU